rnacentral:rRNA from 1 species
UUUAUGGAGAGUUUGAUCCUGGCUCAGGAUGAACGCUGGCGGCGUGCCUAAUACAUGCAAGUCGAGCGAACAGACGAGGAGCUUGCUCCUCUGACGUUAGCGGCGGACGGGUGAGUAACACGUGGAUAACCUACCUAUAAGACUGGGAUAACUUCGGGAAACCGGAGCUAAUACCGGAUAACAUGUUGAACCGCAUGGUUCAACAGUGAAAGACGGUCUUGCUGUCACUUAUAGAUGGAUCCGCGCCGCAUUAGCUAGUUGGUAAGGUAACGGCUUACCAAGGCAACGAUGCGUAGCCGACCUGAGAGGGUGAUCGGCCACACUGGAACUGAGACACGGUCCAGACUCCUACGGGAGGCAGCAGUAGGGAAUCUUCCGCAAUGGGCGAAAGCCUGACGGAGCAACGCCGCGUGAGUGAAGAAGGUCUUCGGAUCGUAAAACUCUGUUAUUAGGGAAGAACAAAUGUGUAAGUAACUAUGCA